rnacentral:misc_RNA from 1 species
AACUUUUGGCAAUGGAUCACUAGGCUCUCGUAUCGAUGAAGAACGAAGCGAAUUGCGAUAAGUAAUGUGAAUUGCAGAAUUCAGUGAAUCAUCGAAUCUUUGAACGCACCUUGCGCUCCUUGGUAUUCCGAGGAGCAUGCCUGUUUGAGUUUCAUUAAAUUCUCAACCUUAUUGGCUUUUGCUAAUAAUGGAUUGGAUGUGGGGGGCUCUUUUGCUGGCUUCUUCGCAGAGGUCAGCUCCCCUUAAAUGCAUUAGCUGGUGCCCCGCGUGGACCAUCUAUUGGUGUGAUAAUUAUCUACGCCGUGGAUGUCUGCAAUCAUAUGGGUUUUGCACUGCUUCUAACCGUCUGUUCAUUCGGACAAUACAUGACAAUUUGACCUCAAAUCAGGUAGGACUACCCGCUGAACUUAAGCAUAUCAAUAAGCGGAGGCU